UGCUUCAUUAAGGCCCAUUAGAAACUGAAACACCUUAUUCUCAUCAUUUUCCUGUAUUAUACCAUCUUUGGCAGCACAAACACAUCUUUGUCCAUGAUUUGUACACAUUGAUUCUAAUUCAUCCCACAGACCUUUAAGUUUAUUAAAAUAUGAAACUACAUCUAGAGACCUUUGAGAGGUGUGAGAAAGCUCUCUUUUUAAUUCAAAAAUUUUGGUCCUGUUGGCAAUGCCAUAUCUGGCCUGAAGCUGGGACCAUAUACUCUGUGCAGUAUCAUAAUACUGCACACUUUCAGCAAUUUGAGGGG
rnacentral:lncRNA from 1 species